UACCCCGUGGUGUAACGGUAGCACUAGAGAUUUUGACUCUCUCAGUUCAGGUUCGAAUCCUGACGGGGUAACCA
rnacentral:tRNA from 1 species